rnacentral:rRNA from 1 species
GACGAACGCUGGCCGCGUGCUUAACACAUGCAAGUCGAGCGAUGAAGCACCUUCGGGUGUGAAUUAGCGGCGAACGGGUGAGGAACACGUGAGAAAUCUGCCUUCAACACUGGGAUAACUCCGGGAAACCGGGGCUAAUACCGGAUAUGAAACCUGCGGGCAUCCGCGGGUUUGGAAAGUUUUUCGGUUGAAGAUGAUCUCGCGGCCUAUCAGCUUGUUGGUGAGGUAAUGGCUCACCAAGGCGACGACGGGUAGCCGGCCUGGGAGGGCGACCGGCCACACUGGGACUGAGACACGGCCCAGACUCCUACGGGAGGCAGCAGUGGGGAAUAUUGGGCAAUGGGGGAAACUCUGACCCAGCGACGCCGCGUGCGGGAUGAAGGCCUUCGGGUUGUAAACCGCUUUCAACAGGGAAGAAGCGAAAGUGACGGUACCUGCAGAAGAAGCACCGGCUAACUAUGUGCCAGCAGCCGCCGUAA